CCUACGGGGGGCAGCAGUAGGGAAUCUUGCACAAUGGGCGAAAGCCUGAUGGAGCAACGCCGCGUGGGUGAAGAAGGUCUUCGGAUCGUAAAACCCUGUUGUUAGAGAAGAAAGUGCGUGAGAGUAACUGUUCACGUAUCGACGGUAUCUAACCAGAAAGCCACGGCUAACUACGUGCCAGCAGCCGCGGUAAUACGUAGGUGGCAAGCGUUAUCCGGAUUUAUUGGGCGUAAAGGGAACGCAGGCGGUCUUUUAAGUCUGAUGUGAAAGCCUUCGGCUUAACCGGAGUAGUGCAUUGGAAACUGGGAGUCUUGAGUGCAGUAGAGGAGAGUGGAACUCCAUGUGUAGCGGUGAAAUGCGUAGAUAUAUGGAAGAACACCAGUGGCGAAAGCGGCUCUCUGGUCUGUAACUGACGCUGAGGUUCGAAAGCGUGGGUAGCAAACAGGAUUAGAUACCCCUGUAGUC
rnacentral:rRNA from 1 species